rnacentral:rRNA from 1 species
CCUACGGGUGGCAGCAGUGAGGAAUAUUGGUCAAUGGGCGUAAGCCUGAACCAGCCAAGUCGCGUGAGGGAUGAAGGUUCUAUGGAUCGUAAACCUCUUUCGGAUGUGACGAUGAUGACGGUAGCAUCUAAAGAAGCCCCGGCUAACUUCGUGCCAGUAGCCGCGGUAAUACGAAGGGGGCAAGCGUUGUUCGGAAUUACUGGGCGUAAAGGGAGUGUAGGCGGUUUAGUAAGAUAGUGGUGAAAUCCCAGGGCUUAACUUUGGAAUUGCCAUUAUAACUAUUAGACUAGAAUUACAGAGAGGAUAGUGGAAUACCCAGUGUAGAGGUGAAAUUCGUAGAUAUUGGGUAGAACACCAGUGGCGAAGGCGACUAUCUGGCUGUACAUUGACGCUGAGGCUCGAAAGCAUGGGGAUCAAACAGGAUUAGAUACCCCAGUAGUC